rnacentral:rRNA from 1 species
AUUGAACGCUGGCGGCAGGCCUAACACAUGCAAGUCGAACGGUAACAGGAAGCAGGUUGCUGCUUCGCUGACGAGUGGCGGACGGGUGAGUAAUGUCCGGGAAGCUGCCUGAUGUCGGGGGAUAACUCCUGGAAACGGUAGCUAAUACCGCACAAUGUCGCAACACCAGAGAGGGGGACCUUCGGGCCUCUUGCCAUCGGAUGUGACCAGAUGGGAUUAGCUAGUUGGUGGGGUAACGGCUCACCAAGGCGACGAUCCGUAGCUGGUCUGAGAGGAUGACCAGCCACACUGGGACUGAGACACGGUCCAGACUCCUACGGGAGGCAGCAGUGGGGAAUAUUGCACAAUGGGCGCAAGCCUGAUGCAGCCAUGCCGCGUGGAUGAAGAAGGCCUUCGGGUUGUAAAGUACUUUUGUCGGGGAGGAAGGGAGUAAAGUUAAUACCUCGGCGCAUUGACGUUACCCGAAGAAGAAGCACCGGCUAACUUCGUG